UACGUAGGGUGCGAGCGUUAAUCGGAAUUACUGGGCGUAAAGCGUGCGCAGGCGGUUUUGUAAGUCAGAUGUGAAAUCCCCGGGCUUAACCUGGGAAUGGCGCUUGUUACUGGCAGGCUAGAGUGUGUCAGAGGGAGGUAGAGUUCCACGUGUAGCAGUGAAAUGCGUAGAGAUGUGGAGGAAUACCGAUGGCGAAGGCAGCCUCCUGGGAUAACACUGACGCUCAUGCACGAAAGCGUGGGGAGCAAACAGG
rnacentral:rRNA from 1 species